rnacentral:tRNA from 1 species
AGGGGUGUAGCUCAGUAGGGAGAGCAGCGGUCUCCAAAACCGCAGGUCGGGGGUUCGAGUCCUCCCGCCCCUGCCA